rnacentral:rRNA from 1 species
GCUUAUGGCCACACCGCCUUGUUCACGCCUGAUCUCGUUUGAUCUCGGGAAGCUAAGAUAGGGUGGGCCAGGUUAGUACUUGAUGGGAGACUGCCUGGGAAUACCAGGUGCUGUAAGCU